rfam:Geobacter sp. M18, complete genome.
UCCGUCGCGAGGCGGAAUCUGAAGGAAGCCGAAGGCAAAAUCCCGGCCCGACGAACAGAAAUCGCAUAUAAGGCAGCCACAACCGGGCAAGCAGGCACGUGUCUGAUAAAGCCCAAUAUCCAUCCAGAGGGCGUGGAAGUAGAUGCGGCGGGUAUAUGGGAGGAAGGUCACGCGA